AGGCUUCCCUAACAUGACUGGUGCCAUUGACUGCACACACGUCCCCAUCAAGGCCCCAAUGAAGGGGAUUUUGUGAACCGAAAGGGAUUUCACAGUGUAAAUGUGCAGAUGCUUACGAUGGGAUCCUGCUUGGUGACAGGGGCUAUGCCUGCAGGCAGUACUUCAUAAUGCCAUUCCCUGACCCAAACCCGUUACAGUGCAGCUCUAACCAGGACAAGAGCACACAUUAAAACAACCUUUGGGCAACUAAAGGGAAGAUUU